UGGGCUAUAGCCAAGCGGUAAGGCAACGGGUUUUGGUCCCGUGAUCGUUGGUUCGAAUCCAGCUAGCCCAG
rfam:Terribacillus aidingensis strain MP602, complete genome.